UAAAUAUCUUAUAAAGAUGUUGUUUCUCCACCAAUAAUAUCCAUGAUUUAUUUGUCAUAUUAAGAACAUUUUAGUUUUGACCUUUGAAAACUUUAAUUGUUUGACUUGAUUUUAAAUUUGAAUUUGAAUCAUUUUUGAACCAUCGCGAGAUUAGCAACUAUAAUCGAGGUGACGGGGCAUCACUAGCAGAGGAUCACUGUAGCUUAAUUACCCGGGCGUCACACUGACAGAGUGUAUGAGCAGUGAAUAAAAUAGAGGAGUGGCCUGUUCACCGGAGCAAGCGAGGAAGAUAGCUCAGCCCGACCACCAACGUCCACUCACCGGUUUCUUUGAUGCCUCGACCUCGAGCUGCAUCAGCUCGUUGAUAUGUGAUGGACAUCUCCCAGCAGUCCCUCGAUUGCCAGGCCACCGCGCCCGACCUCGACAAGGCGUUCGGAUGGUUGUGAGGCAGGUGCUGCUGUACCAGCGGUGCUGCUAUGUUGCUCUGCCCUCAACCAUCCAAAUCAUUUCUACCAGACCCAAUCUUCCACUGCCAUCUCAUACAUAUGCAGGUACUAUCCAGUAUCUAUGCACGAGCUACCGAGCGUGAGUGUGGCCAUCACCCAGGAGCAGGAAGAAGAUGGUUUAAUAUAUUGGUGUCAGAGCGCUUGUUGCAAUAACCGUCAAAUCUUGAUUGUAUUAUAUUGAUCAGACCAAGCACUUUUUGGAUAAAUUAGCAUGAAGUGAUCAGGAGCAGAGAAAUAUAUAUGUCUUGAAGAAAUGGAUAUAUAUGGUUUUAAGGUUACAUGAAGAUAUAUAUGUCUGGAUCAAGUUGAGUACUGAGGGAAUUGCUUGAACCUGGCAUCGAAGGGUGAAGAAUAUGAGCAUCCGGAGUAUAUCAUUCGCAAGAGCUUGAAAGGUAUUGUCACUGGGGCACUGAAGUGAAGCUCUAUCAGCACCAUGUGAACAAGUUGUUUGCCAUGUUCCGCCGCAGAAAAACAGAUAUCAAAUACUAUGUCUGCACCAUCAGCAAAACAUUUGCAAAGCUAGGCCAACCGAUGUAUUUUCAGGUCAACUACACUGAAAGAAAACUAAAUGAUUACAUUGACCCAGAUUAUGAUACGCUCAAGGUCAGGCUUGCAAACAGUGAUCUACAAGCCAAUUGCCGCAUCAUGCUAGGAACCGACAAGAGAGCCAUUGUAACAAUCAACCGGUCUGAGUUCCGUUGCCUUGCAAAAAUCCAUGGAGACAUCUCUGCCUUUCGUUUCAAGGUCACCACAAAGCAGCGCCGGGUUCUCAUGGUGCAUUUUUGUCGUGGUGACUACUCUCAGCCAGAUAUGUAUAGACUUUAGUCCUCCCUUGCUGUCUCUAUGGUGAAAAGUAGUCUACGAUCUUUAGAUUUUAUUGUUGUCUCUAUGGUCAAAAGCGGUUUACCAUCUCUUAUUGUAUAUAUGUGAAGGACUCCUCUUCUACUGUUGUUUCCAGAA